CCUGGGGCUCGCCGCCGCCGGGUCUCAGAGGCCGCGCAGGGUCGGGCGUCUUGGGGCGCGGUGACUGUACGCCAUGGGGAAGGCCAGGGCGGCCGGGGCGCGCACGAAGACUCCGGCGGGAGCGCGAGGUGGCGGGACAAGGCCCAACUCAAACCCGUUCGAAGUAAAAGUCAACAGGCAGAAGUUCCAGGUCCUGGGCAGGAAGACGCGCCACGACGUGGGGCUGCCUGGGGUGUCGCGCGCGCGGGCCAUCCAGAAGCGCUGCCGGACUUUACUAAAAGAAUACAAGGAGAGGGAUAAGUCCAAUGUGUUCGUGGAUAAGCGCCUUGGGGAGUACAAUAGCAACGUAAGCCUGGAGGAGAAGAUGCUGAAGAGGUUCGCUCUGGAACAGCAGCGACAACAUGAAAAAAAAAACAUCUACAACCUAAACGAAGAUGAAGAAUUAACUCAUUACGGCCAGUCUUUGGCAGACAUCGAAAAGCAUAAUGACAUUGUCGAUAGCGACAGUGACGCCGAGGAUCGGGGAGCCCUGUCCGCCGAGCUGACGGCGGCGCAUUUUGGAGGCGGCGAGCCCCUUCACAAGAAGCCGGCACCACAGCCGGGCGAGGACGGGGAGAGACCCAGAUCCCGCAAAGAACUGAUCGAGGAGCUCAUCGCGGAGUCGAAGCGGGAGAAGAGGGAGAGACAAGCCCGGCGAGAAGAUGCCCUGGAGCUCACGGAGAAGCUGGACCAGGACUGGCGGGAGAUCCGGGCGCUCCUGGCACGCAGGGCGCCCAAGCCGGGGAACAGAGAGCAGGAGAAACCCACGCCUGAUGCAUACGACGUGAUGGUUCGUGAGCUUGGCUUUGAAAUGAAGGCACAGCCUUCGAACAGGAUGAAAACGGAAGAGGAACUGGCGAAGGAGGAACAGGAGCGGCUCAAGAACCUGGAGGCCGACAGACUCCGAAGGAUGCGUGGAAAGGAUGAGGAUGAAGAUACUAAACCCAAACAUACGUCAGCAGAUGACUUAAGUGAUGGCUUCAUACUAGAUCAAGAUGACAGGCGUUUGCUGUCCUACAAAGACGGAAAGAUGAACGUCGAGGAAGAGCAGAGCGGGGAGGCCAGCGACCGUGAGAGCGCAGAGGAUGCGGGCGAGGACACGAGGGAGGACGAUGCAGAGGACAGCAGUGGCUCAGAGGGCCACUCAGACCUGGAAUCUGACGGAGAGAGCGAGGGGGAGAGCGAGCGGCCAGGGCAGGCGCAGCAGCGGGCUUCUGGGCACGUGUCGCCAGGCGGCAGUGGGGAAGCCGCCAGCACCGAGCUGCCCUACGUGUUCGCAGCCCCUGAAGCCUGCGAGGACCUGAAAUCGCUGUUAUCCGGAAGGCCGACGGAAGAGCAGCUGUUGGUGCUGGAAAGAAUCCAGAAAUGCCACCACCCAAGCCUUGCGGCGGGGAACAGAGCGAAGCUAGAGAAACUAUUCGGCUUCCUUUUGGAGUACAUUGGAGAUCUGGCUACGGACGAGCCACCGGCCCUCGGAACGAUCGACAAGCUGGUCGUGCAGUUGUAUAAUCUGUGCCAGAUGUUUCCUGAAUCUGCGAGCAGUUGCAUGAAGUUCGUCCUCCGGGACGCCAUGCACGAGAUGGAAGGGAUGGUCGAGGCGAAAGGCCGGGCGGUGUUUCCGGGCUUGGACGUGCUCAUUUAUUUGAAAAUUGCUGGGAUGUUAUUUCCGACCUCUGACUUCCGGCACCCCGUCGUGACGCCUGCGCUGGUGUGUCUCAGCCAGCUGCUCACAAAGUGCCCCGUCCUGUCUCUCCAAGACGCGGUGAAGGGUCUGUUCGUGUGCUGCGUGUUCCUGGACUACGUGUCUCUGUCUCGGAGGUUCGUCCCUGAGCUGAUUAACUUUCUCCUGGGCAUCCUUUACAUAGCAGCUCCAAACAGCCAGAGUCCAGGUUACACUCUGGUGCACCCUUUCAGAGCCCUUGGCAAGAACUCGGAAUUGCUCCUGGUGUCUGAUGAAGAGGACACGGCCACGUGGCAGAGGAGGAGCCUCGCCCUGCACUGGGCAAGUGGGCCACCAGCCCGGACUGAGACCGAGGCCAACCACAUCAGCUGGCUGUCGCCCGUGCAGGCUGUCCUGCCUGGCCGUGUGCCUGGCCCUGGUGAAGCGCUGUGUGCUCAUGUACAGUGGCCUGCCGUCCUUCCACGACAUCGUGAGGCCCCUCAGAGCCCUCCUGACAGAGCACCUGGCCAGCUGCAGUCACCCCCGCGAGCUCCAGGAGCUGAUUCGGGGCACGCUGACGGACAUGGAAGCCCAGGAGCAGCACUGUCAGCCCCUCAUCUGCGCGAAGAGCAAGCCGGUGCCUCUGAAGCUGUUCACGCCCCGGCUGGUCAAAGUCCUCGAGUUUGGAAGGAAGCAGGGGAGCAGCAGGGAGGAGCAGGAGCGGAAAAGGCUAAUGCACAAGCACAGGCGUGAAUUCAAAGGCGCCGUCCGGGAAAUUCGCAAGGACAACCAGUUCCUGGCCCGGAUGCAGCUCGCGGAGACCAUGGAGCGGGAUGCGGAGAGAAAGCGGAAAGUGAAGCAACUUUUUAACAGUCUGGCCGCACAGGAAGGCGCGUGGCGGGCUCUGAAGAGGAAGAAGCUCAAAAGAUAGCUCCACAGAUGAGGCGACGAGACGGAGGCUGUCGUAAUGGGGUGUGGGUUUUUGUCCCUGUACCUCAGUUCCUGUCAAAACGUCUCUCCUGGUGACAACGUGCGCUUUUGGAACUGGGAACGGUUUUCUGCACGCGUGACGAGAAACUCUGAACGCCUCGGUCCACCGAGCUUCCACACACCUGUGAGUCGCAGGGUUUGGGACAGCGUUCUGGCCAGCAUCGUUUCUGGUCAAGCAAGGAUGUUUGCCUUCUGUAUAGAAUUCAGCGUUAAUACAUUAAUGAUAUUUUCAAUUACAAAUUAAACUGAAGUUUGCAAACA